AGGAGCGCCUCUGCCCGGCCGCCCCGUCCGGGAAGAAGUGAGGAGCGCCUCUGCCCGGCUGCCCCGUCCGGGAAGAAGUGAGGAGCGCCUCUGCCCGGCCACCCAUCGUCUGGAAAGUGAGGAGCGCCUCUGCCCGACCACCCAUCGUCUGGGAAGUGAGGAGCGCCUCUGCCCGGCCACCUAUCGUCUGGGAAGAAGUGAGGAGCGUCUCUGCCUGGCCGCCCCGUCUGGGAAGUGAGGAGCCCCUCUGCCCGGCCGCCCCGUGUCUGGGUAGAAGUGAGGAGCUCCUCUGCCUGGCCGCUCCGUCUGGGAGGUCUACCACGGAGGCCAGAAGCAAUGUGGGGGCUGGACGUGGUGGCUCACGCCUGUGGUCCCGGCACUCUGGGGGGCGAGGCGGGUUGAUCACUUCGGGCUAGGAGUUCGAGAUCAGUCUGGCCAACUUGGCGAAACAUGAAGAAUACAACAGACAAACCAACCAACCAACUCAAUGACAACAAAACAGGUCUACCCUGGAGUCAUACUCUAAUUUUUUUCUAUUUUCCUCCCUUUCUGAUCCUUUAUCCCACUUUCUUUUUCUUCCUCUUCCUUCUCCCUCUUCUUCGUCAAAUAGAGGAUUGAGUUAUUAUCACUGAUCCAUAUAAAGUCCCUCUCUCAUUUAUUUUAACUCCCACCCCCAUUUCUAUUCCCCGACUUCCCAUGUGCAACCUUCCUAAUAUGUUUGAUACGCAUCUUUUUGUUUGUAUGUA